ensembl:snRNA U6 U6 spliceosomal RNA
GUUCUUGCUUCGGUAGCACAUAUACUAAAAUUGGAAUGACACAGAUGCUUAGCAUGGCCCUUGUGCAAGGAUGACACUAUUAAAAAAAAAAAAAAGGUGUGGUUC